rnacentral:tRNA from 1 species
AGCGGGGUAGGGUAGCCUGGUAGCCCGCGGGAGGAGCGGGAGCCGGGAGCUGGUCCCCGGCCCUGCCCCGCGAAGCUCAUAACACCAACCGGGGCCCUGAGGCCCCGGAGGGUCGAGCCCGAGGUCGGUGGUUCAAAUCCACCCCCCGCUACCA